rnacentral:lncRNA from 1 species
GUCGUUUUGCUGUGGCUCCUCAGUAAACCCAAGUUGGAGAGAGAGGGCAUUGUAUUGACAGCAGCAUGAUCCUUAUCACAUUUGGACUCUAUCUUCCACUAUUGUUUUGUUAUGUCUUGUCUCAGUCCUCUUUCCUGGACAAUAUUCUCUCAUUCCCAGCAGAAUGAGGAGACCAGUAAGGGAGGUGAUCACAGACCAGAUCCAGAUACAGGGACGGAGCUGAAAGGGCCCAGCUGUGUCCCAGGACCCCCUGGCCCCAACGGACCCCCGGUCCUCAGGUAGGUAAACCUAUCACCCCCAAAUGUCUCUGUUAAUGUUGUCAUCCCACUGGCUUCAUCAAUUCAAUAUAUCUUUUUUAAGCCCGAUAAUGGCCCAUACAGUUAUAAUACGGUUAUAAUGCAGAUAUUUGGAAGAGUAUUUCAUCAGGGUUUAUCAGGUGGAGACAAUGGUUAGUUGCCUGGGCUUCCUUACUUGUCAGUAAUGGUGGUAGACAGGUGUUGGGGGGUUGGCUAAGUCCUCUAUAGACCUCUAUCAGCUCUUUACCAUCUGAGACCCAUGUGAGUUCCUUCUCCUUCCUUCCUCUUGUUCCUCUAGAGCUAG